rnacentral:rRNA from 1 species
UACGUAGGGUGCAAGCGUUGUCCCGGAAUUAUUGGGCGUAAAGAGCUCGUAGGCGGUUUGUCGCGUCUGCUGUGAAAACCCGAGGCUCAACCUCGGGCCUGCAGUGGGUACGGGCAGACUAGAGUGCGGUAGGGGAGAUUGGAAUUCCUGGUGUAGCGGUGGAAUGCGCAGAUAUCAGGAGGAACACCGAUGGCGAAGGCAGAUCUCUGGGCCGUAACUGACGCUGAGGAGCGAAAGCAUGGGAGC